rnacentral:rRNA from 1 species
UACUGCUCAGUAACACGUGGACAACCUACCCUGAGGAGGGGGAUAACCCCGGAAAACUGGGGAUAAUACCCCAUAGAUUAGGGAGGCUGGAAUGCCCCCUAGUUCAAAGGUCCGCCGCCUCAGGAUGGGUCUGCGGCCGAUUAGGUUGUUGUUGGGGUAACGGCCCAACAAGCCUUUGAUCGGUACGGGUUGUGGGAGCAAGAGCCCGGAGAUGGAUUCUGAGACACGAAUCCAGGCCCUACGGGGCGCAGCAGGCGCGAAAACUUUACAAUGCGAGAAAUCGUGAUAAGGGAACCCCAAGUGCCCGUAAAUUCGGGCUGUCCGCCAGUGCAAAAAACUGGUGAAGAAAGAGCCGGGCAAGACCGGUGCCAGCCGCCGCGGUAAUACCGGCGGCUCGAGUGGUGGCCACUAUUACUGGGCUUAAAGCGUCCGUAGCUUGGUUGUUAAGUCUCCUGGGAAAUCCAUCGGCUCAACCGAUGGGCGUUCAGGAGAUACUGGCAACCUAGGGACCGGGAGAGGUGAGAGGUACUCCAGGGGUAGGAGUGAAAUCCUGUAAUCCUUGGGGGACCACCUGUGGCGAAGGCGUCUCACUAGAACGGCUCCGACAGUGAGGGACGAAAGCUGGGGGAGCAAACCGGAUUAGAUACCCGGGUAGUCCCAGCUGUAAACGAUGCGCGUUAGGUGUAUCGGUGACCACGAGUCACCGAGGUGCCGAAGGGAAACCGUGAAACGUGCCGCCUGGGAAGUACGGUCGCAAGGCUGAAACUUAAAGGAAUUGGCGGGGGAGCACAAUCA